CUACGGAGGGUGCAAGCGUUACUCGGAAUCACUGGGCGUAAAGCGCGCGCAGGCGGCUAUUUAAGUUGGAUGUGAAAGCCUACGGCUCAACCGUAGAACUGCAUCCAAAACUAUUUAGCUAGAGUGUGGGAGAGGAAGAUGGAAUUAGUUGUGUAGGGGUAAAAUCCGUAGAGAUAACUAGGAAUACCAAAAGCGAAGGCAAUCUUCUGGAACACUACUGACGCUGAGGCGCGAAGGCGUGGGGAGCAAACAGGAUUAGAAACCCUAGUAGUCC
rnacentral:rRNA from 1 species